rnacentral:rRNA from 1 species
ACUCAAAGGAAUAGACGGGGACCCGCACAAGCGGUGGAUGAUGUGGUUUAAUUCGAUGCAACGCGAAAAACCUUACCCACCUUUGACAUGGCAGGAAGAUCUUAGAGAUAAGAUUGUGCUCGCAAGAGAACCUGCACACAGGUGCUGCAUGGCUGUCGUCAGCUCGUGUCGUGAGAUGUUGGGUUAAGUCCCGCAACGAGCGCAACCCUUGCCAUUAGUUGCUACGAAAGGGCACUCUAAUGGGACUGCCGGUGACAAACCGGAGGAAGGUGGGGAUGACGUCAAGUCCUCAUGGCCCUUAUAGGUGGGGCUACACACGUCAUACAAUGGUCGGUACAAAGGGUAGCCAACCCGCGAGGGGGAGCCAAUCCCAGAAAACCGGUCGUAGUCCGGAUCGCAGUCUGCAACUCGACUGCGUGAAGUCGGAAUCGCUAGUAAUCGUGGAUCAGCAUGUCACGGUGAAUACGUUCCCGGGUCUUGCACACACCGCCCGU